ensembl:rRNA 5S_rRNA 5S ribosomal RNA
GUCUAUGGCCAUGCCAUUCUGAAUGUGCUCAAUCUUAUCUGAUGUAGGAAGCUAAGCAGGGUAAGGCCUGGUUAGUACUUGGUGUGGGAGACCACCUGGUAGUACUGGGUGCUAUAGGCU